GGUUGCGCUCGAAAGCUGCCUACGUAUCCCUUUAUAAGGAAUCAAACCAACGUAGUUCAAAGGCAAGAUGCAAAAUGAUACAUAUGAUGCGACGUAACAAUUGAAAUAAAUAAACGAGAGCAAUCUUAACUACGCUUCCGCGCAUAAGAAAUAAUCCCACCUACACCUCUGUGAAGAAAGGUUAACAAGAGACUAGCCCAAACUACACUUCUGCUCAGAAAGACGAGAAACAAACCAAACUACACUACCGCAUAGAGGAGUACAAGAAAUAACCCUAACUACACUACCGGGCAAAAAAGUACAAAAAAGAACCAAGCUACACUACCUCGUAGCGAGGAACAAGAGCAACCAAACUACACUGCCAUGUAGAGAGGUAAUCCUAACUACAUUUUCGUGUAGAUAGGGUAACAAAACAAACCAAGCCGCACUACCGUGUGGCGAGGAACAAGAAUAACCAGGCUAUACUACCACGUAGCGAGGUGAUCCUAACUACACUUCCGUGUAGAGAGGAUAACAAAACAAACCAAGCCACAUUAUUGUAUGGCGAGAAACAAGAACAACCAGGCUACACUACCGCGUAGCGAGGUGAUCCUAACUAUACUUCUGCGUAGAGAGGAUAACAAGACAAACCAAGCCACACUACCGCGUGGCGAGGAACAGGAACAACCAGGCUAAACUACCGCGUAGCAAGGUGAUCCUAACUACUCUUCCGUGUAGAGAGGAUAACAAAACAAACCAUGCCACAUUACCGUGUAGUGAGGAACAAGAACAACCAAGCUACACCUUCACGUAGUGAGGUGAUCCUAACUACACUUCCGCUUAGAGAGCAUGCCGAGGAACAAGAACAACUAGGCUACACCACCACGUAGCGAGGUGUUCCUAACUACACUUUUGCGUAGAGAGGAUAACAAAACAAACCAAGCCACACUACCGCAUGGUGAGGUUAAAGGAAGGGAACCCAAAUCUCACGACAAGGGUGGACACCACGACGCACAUGAAUACGACACAAUGCAACGUAAUUGAAAUUCAGUAUGAUGACAACACAUGUUCUAUGCAAAAUAAUAGACAACCGACAUAUGAUAUUAAUUGAAAGCAUGUUCUAUGAAAGAAUCAAAAACAUGUUCUAUGCAAGAUAAUCGAAAGCAUGUGAGUUACAAACGAUGCAAUGCACACUUGCAACAUACGAAGUAUGUGAGAGUGCACGUUCUAUGCAAAAAAAGGUAACAGAUAUAUAAAUCAACAAAACAAACAAAAGCGAUGUUCGACAAAAACCUCCGACUUACCUCUCAUAGGCUUUGCAAAAUGCUCAAAAAGGAUACACCUUGUUCAUAUUUGAAAUUGGGCAUGUUCGCGCGGCGGAGUACAACGGGUAUUGGAACGGCACAAUCGGAACACAGUUUCGAGCUCCUCGGAAAUCAAAUCCAAUGCAAAUACCUCAAUCCUUCUUUCCAGACCCAAAAUCGGACCUCCCAUACUCUGUUAGGACAAAAGGGGAACAAAACCAACACUAGGCCACAAAAAGGGCCUGCCGACCACUAAUGCAAAAAUGGGGGCACUUCGGUCUUUUAGCCACAAGUCUUUUUAAAUACAUCACUAAACUUCAUUUCCUCACACACCCAAGUCUGAAAUCAUCCCCUCUCUCUCUAGGUGCUUUCUCUCUCUAGAUCUUCGUUUUCCAACGUCACACGCAAACUUUAUUCUUAAAACCUCUUUGGUCCCCUUCACUUUGAACCGAUCAUAUUUUGUUUUUGUUGAUUUUUUCAGAUUUUUAACACUUUGGGCUUGUUUCCCUUGAGUUUUUCUUGGGUUUUGUGAACUUCCUGGGGUUUUGACUUUUUCUCUCAUUUUCUCUCUCCUAGAGUUGACUUUUUCCAAGUUUUUCCUCUUCUCCAUUUUCCCUCAUUUUUUCACCGACUUUUCACUCAUUUUUCAGAUGGCAAACGACAUUCCUCAUGAUGACGCCCCUCUCGGGGUUCCACUUGCCCUUUACCAAAAUUGAGGAGCCGACAGUUGCGGCUAGCGAAGCGGCAGAGGACAUUGCCGCCGAUUUCGAGGCAAAGUUCGCUCUAGGGCUCGAGCCUGAGUUACUACCAUUGAGGGUGAGGCCCUUUGAUCCAGCCACUUACCACCCCCACACGCACACAAUGGCAUCUGGAGGCAUCAGGUGCUUUGAUGAUUUUGCUGAUGCCGUGUCAGAGUAUAUUUUACUAAGAAAGCCAGAUUCCCACAUUUCCCACGGUGCUACUGAGGUACACACUUUAUUUUACUGCCUUUCAUCUGACUAUCUUGCAUUGCCUUUCAUCUGCCUAUUCUUUUAUCACUGUCUUUCAUCUGAUUCACUCUUUCUUUGCCACAGAAGGACUCUUGCUCCUAUAGGAGUUACGGGGCAGUGACAACCAGGGAUUAGUAUCACGAGCUCUCCCCCCGGGUCCACUACCUUGUCGAUGAGGCAGGCUUUGGCUUACUCUACACUGGUCUCACGUGCCACAUGGUUAGUCGAGCCCUACUUGGAGCAUUAGUGGAGAGGUGGUGGGAUACCACCAACUCCUUCCACUUCUCUUUCACUUGGGAGAUGAUGAUGACCCCCUAUGAAUUUUCGAUGAUCACAGGCUUAGGAGUAGGGGGUGAUUCAAUCCCUUUCAACAUGGACAUGGGCCAGUGGGAGAUGACCUGGAUCUACCUGCUUAGAGCGAGCCCGCCUCUAUACAGGCCAGCUAUGGUGCGAUAUAAUUGGUUCCUCGAGUGCUUCCGCAGGAGUCAGCUUGAGACGUCAGAAGAGGUAAAGCAGUAUGCCUGAGGCUUCUUGAUGUACCUUCUUAGUACCACCUUGUUCACGAACAGGUGGAAUACCGUGGGUUUGUACUUGCUGAGCGCCCUUGUGACCUUGCCCCGGGUUUGGUUUUACGACUGGGGUGGAGCCAGCCUUGCCACACUCUACGGCUACAUAAGCUCCACUUCCCGUAUGAAGGGAGACAAGGUCAGAGGCUACCGGAGAGCCUGGGAGCUGUGAGUCUACGCCUAUUUCCCAGCCCUUGCUCCAGAGCCGAUGGAUGAGAUUGCUCCAGUCGUGCACUACUCGCGACAGUAUGAUGGCAGGUGCAGCAGCGAAGACAUGACGUUCACCUUCUAUCAUCACUACUUCGACACUAUGAUUGCCCGUGAGAUCACCUGGUAGCUAUGGACGACGAUGCCAGCUGGAGUUAGGGUCCAGUAUGCUGGAGCCUGGGCUAUAUCUCGAUAUCAGAUUUUGCUGGAGGGUCCAUUCUGUCGGGCCUGGUUCUUGGGAGAGUGGUUUGUACGCCAGACACUAGGCUUGCCCGCCCUGGUUGUUCCUAUGCCGCCUCCAGCAUCCAUGAGGACAACUGAUAGCUUCUCAGCAGGCCAUUAUUCAGUAUAUGGUGGGGCUAGAUACCGACUACUUCCGAGGGGACAGAGAUUACACGGCCUUCAUUAGGACUCACCUUAUGGCACCCCUGACUGGCAUUCGUGCGGGCGAUGCAGCGGGUGCUCCCUUGGCCGAAGAGGUUGCUCAAGGGGCUGAGGCUUGUAUUGGAGCGGCUUCUCUUACUACGUAGGCUACCGGUUGGCCAGCAAUUCCUACCGUGAUUCCUUGUGGGCGGCUGAGCGGAACGGUCUAUCGGUUCUCAAUAGAUCCACCAGAGACGGGGCACGGGUAUGUCAGAGCCCCGAGUGUACCUCAGGCACCCAAAGAGUACACAGAGGGCCUUCUUCAGCUGGUUGUCUCCCUAUUUCACAUGGUGCAAAUGAGGGAUAUGCUGCUCGCUUUGCACGGUAUCCAAGUUCCAUCUGCACCGAAGGCAUUAACAGCACUGGCGGCACCUCCUCCAGCGGUAGGGAAGAGAGGUACACAAGCUCCAGCACGCGGCCGAGACGAGCGUAGAGGUCGAGGCAGAGGCAAAGGUGCUCAAAGUCAUAGCAACUCAGAGCCGAUUUUGAGUGGGGAUGAUACUAAGACCAGGGGCUCUGAGGAGGCACUAAGCUAACUCUCUGAGUCUAAGAGCAAGUACAAUGAUGCUAGCUCGGGAUUAGAAAACGGUGAUGAUGCCGAGGCUGGCUCUGAGUCAAGGAGCAAAGAUGAUGACACUGGCUCUGGCUUGGAGUCCGAUUCUGAUAGCGGUGCUGAUGGAGACAGCGCUCUUAACUCCCCUCAGAGGAAGAGGAUGAAGAGGGCCUCUCAAGCUUGAUGCGACUGGCCCAGAUUUUUGUACUUUUUACUUAGUUUCUUUUAUUUUUGGUAGCUUAGCACAUGUAUAGCUUCAGAUAGGCUUUUAUUUUUGCUUGAAAACACUUGUACUCUCUUUUGUAAGAACUAUGAUCAGGGGAAAACUCUACAGUUUGAUGAAAACAGA